rnacentral:SRP_RNA from 14 species
GCCUGGCUUGGUGGCACAUGCCUGUAGUCCCAGCUAUUAGGGAGGCUGAGACUCAAGGAGGAUCCCUUGAGUUCAAGAGUUCUGGACUAUAGUGCACUAUGCCAAUCAGGUGUUCACACUAAGUCCAGCACCAAUAUGGUGACCUUACGGGAGCAGGGAACCACCAGUUUGCUUAAGGAGGGGGGAACCAGCCUAGGUCAGAAACAGAGUGGGUCGAAACUCCUGCACUGAUCAGGAGUUAGUGUUCAUGAAUAAAACCACAUUGAAUAGAAAAUAAAUGUCAGGAAUGCUAGCAUCUUGAGGGU